rnacentral:rRNA from 1 species
AUUGAACGCUGGCGGCAGGCCUAACACAUGCAAGUCGAACGGUAACAGGAAACAGCUUGCUGUUUCGCUGACGAGUGGCGGACGGGUGAGUAAUGUCUUGGAAACUGCUUGAUGGAGGGUGAUAACUACUGGAAACGGUAUCUAAUACCGCAUAACGUCGCAAGACCAAAGAGGGGGACCUUCGUUCCUCUUGCCUUCGGAUCUGCCCAGAUGGGCUUGGCUAGUAGGUGGGGUACUGUCUCACCUCGGCGACGCUCGUUAGCUGGUGUGAGAGGGUGACCAGCCAAACUGGAACUGAGACACGGUCCGGACUGCUAGGCGAGGGAGCAGUGGGGAAUAUUACGGCAUGGGCGGGAGCAUGAUGCAGCGAUGCCGCGUGUAUGAAGAAGGCCUUCGGGUUGUAAAAUAAUUUCAGCGGGGAGGAAGGAAGUAAAGUUAAUACCUUUACUCAUUGACGUUACCCGCAGAAGAAGCACCGGCUAACUCCGUG